rnacentral:rRNA from 1 species
AUGUCUCGCACAACCAAUCUCUUGCUCACUCUCAUCACCAUAAGCAUAUUUCCAUUCUUCACAAAUGGUGCACUACAACCCCAGCAUCAGCACGCCCAUGACGGCGGCUGCAUCCCUGCCGAGAGGGCUGCCUUGCUCUCCUUCAAAGAGGGCAUUACAAGCAACAACACCAACCUCCUCGCCUCGUGGAAAGGACAGGACUGCUGCCGGUGGAGAGGCAUCAGUUGCAGCAACCGAACUGGCCAUGUCAUCAAGCUCCAUCUUCGCAAUCCGAAUGUGGCUCCCGACCACUAUGGCUACCAUGAUGCAUGUGCUGAUGCCAGUGCUUUGUUCGGCGAGAUAAGUCCCUCUCUACUUUCCUUGAAGCGUCUAAAGCACCUCGACCUCAGCAUGAACUGUUUACUAGGGACAAAUAGCCAAAUACCUCAUUUGCUGGGUUCCAUGGGGAACUUGAGAUACCUUAACCUCUCUGGCAUACCAUUUACCGGUAGGAUGCCUUCUCAUCUUGGUAAUCUGUCUAAGUUGCAGUAUCUUGACCUUGGUUAUUGUCCUGCUAUGUACUCAACGGAUAUCACCUGGUUAACAAAGCUACCUUUCUUGAAGUUCCUUAGCAUGAGGGGAGUAAUGCUCCCAGGGAUAGCUGACUGGCCUCAUACCCUGAAUAUGAUUCCAUCUCUGAGGGUUAUAGAUCUUUCUAACUGUCUUCUUGAUUAUGCAAACCAAUCACUUCAGCACGUUAAUCUUACAAAACUUGAGAAGCUUGACUUGUUCAAUAAUUAUUUUGAGCACUCACUCGCAUCUGGUUGGUUUUGGAAAGCGACAAGCCUCAAGUACCUCGACCUUGGAAAUAACAAACUAUUUGGCCAGUUCCCUGACACACUAGGAAAUAUGACGAACCUUCAGGUGCUUGAUAUUUCAGAAAAUUGGAACCCUCAUAUGAUGAUGGCAGGAAACCUGGAGAAUCUUUGCGGUUUGGAAAUCAUUGACCUCUCUUAUAAUUAUAUAAAUGGAGACAUAGCAGUGUUGAUGGAGAGUUUGCCACAGUGCACACGGAAAAAAUUGCAGGAGAUGGAUUUAAGAUACAACAAUUUCACUGGAACUCUGCCAAACUUGAUCAGUGACUUCACCAGGUUGAGGAUACUGAGCCUGAGCGGAAACAACCUUGUUGGUAGUAUACCACCAUGGCUUGUGAAUUUGACACGCUUAACAACCCUUGAACUCUUUAGCAAUCACCUCACCGGAAGUAUACCACCAUGGCUUGGGAAUCUGACAUGUCUAACCUCCCUUGAACUCGGUGACAAUCUCCUCACCGGAAGUAUACCAGCCGAGUUUGGGAAAUUGAUGUAUCUGACCAUUUUGGACCUCUCAAGUAAUCAUCUCAAUGAAAGUGUACCCGCUGAAAUAGGCUCCCUUGUUAAUUUGAUUUUUCUGGACCUAAGCAACAAUAGCUUUACUGGUGUGAUCACGGAAGAACACUUGGCAAAUCUAACAAGUUUGAAGCAAAUAGACUUGUCUUUAAACAAUUUCAAGAUUGCCCUGAAUUCAGAUUGGCGUGCUCCCUCUACACUGGAAUCUGCAUGGUUUGCAUCUUGCCAGAUGGGUCCUCUGUUUCCACCUUGGCUUCAGCAGCUGAAAAUCACUGCACUUGACAUUUCAACCACUUCUCUAAAGGGUGAGUUUCCUGAUUGGUUUUGGUCCGCAUUUUCAAAUGUCACAUAUCUGGACAUCUCUAACAACCAAAUAAGUGGCAACUUGCCAGCACAUAUGGAUAGCAUGGCUUUUGAAAAACUCUAUCUCCGUUCGAACCGGCUUACUGGACCAAUACCUACGUUGCCAACAAACAUCACCCUGUUAGACACCUCCAACAAUACAUUUUCAGAAACAAUACCAUCAAACCUUGUAGCGCCACGACUUGAAAUAUUGUGUAUGCAUUCAAAUCAAAUUGGCGGCUACAUUCCAGAAUCUAUUUGCAAAUUGGAACAACUGAUUUAUCUGGAUUUGUCGAACAAUAUUUUGGAGGGUGAAGUUCCUCAAUGUUUUGACACCCACAACAUAGAGAAUCUUAUACUCAGCAACAACAGUUUAUCAGGAAAAAUACCAGCAUUUUUGCAGAAUAACACAAGUCUGGAGUUCUUGGAUCUGUCAUGGAAUAAGUUCUCUGGAAGAUUACCUACAUGGAUAGGAAACCUGGUCUAUUUACGUUUUCUCGUACUGAGCCACAAUGAAUUUUCUGAUAAUAUUCCAGUCAACAUAACAAAGUUGGGGCAUCUUCAAUACUUGGAUCUAUCACACAACAACUUCUCUGGUGCAAUACCUCGGCAUCUGUCAAACCUAACAUUUAUGACAACAUUACAAGAGGAAUCCAGGUAUAUGGUUGAAGUUGAAGUUGAUUCCAUGGGAGGUACUACCGAAUUUGAAGCUGAUAGCUUAGGACAAAUAUUGUCAGUAAAUACAAAAGGGCAGCAACUUAUAUAUCAUAGAACACUUGCCUAUUUUGUGAGCAUUGAUUUAUCAUGCAACUCCUUGACUGGUAAAAUUCCUACAGACAUCACUUCGCUUGCUGCACUAAUGAAUUUGAAUUUAUCAUCAAACCAGUUGAGUGGACAAAUUCCAAACAUGAUUGGCGCCAUGCAGUCAUUAGAAUCACUCGACCUCUCUCAGAAUAAACUUUAUGGUGAAAUCCCAUCGAGCUUGACAAAUCUGACAUCUCUGAGCUACCUGGACCUGUCCUACAACAGUUUGUCUGGAAGGAUACCCUCUGGCCCCCAACUUGACACCCUCAAUAUGGACAACCAGACACUUAUGUACAUCGGCAACAAUGGACUUUGUGGGCCUCCUGUCCACAAGAAUUGUUCUGGAAAUGAUGCUUACAUCCAUGGCGAUCUCGAGAGCAGCAAGGAAGAAUUUGACCCACUGACCUUUUACUUUGGGCUUGUGCUAGGAUUUGUGGUGGGGCUCUGGAUGGUGUUUUGUGCACUGCUGUUCAAGAAGACAUGGAGAAUUGCUUAUUUCCGGCUCUUCGACAAGGUGUACGAUCAAGUUUAUGUAUUUGUGGUUGUGAAGUGGGCAAGCUUCGCAAAGAAAACAGAUGAAGAAUAA